AGAGUUUGAUCAUGGCUCAGAUUGAACGCUGGCGGCAUGCCUUACACAUGCAAGUCGAACGGCAGCGCGGGGCAACCUGGCGGCGAGUGGCGAACGGGUGAGUAAUAUAUCGGAACGUGCCCUGGAGUGGGGGAUAACGCAGCGAAAGUUGCGCUAAUACCGCAUACGAUCUAAGGAUGAAAGCAGGGGACCGCAAGGCCUUGUGCUCCUGGAGCGGCCGAUAUCUGAUUAGCUAGUUGGUGGGGUAAAGGCCUACCAAGGCAUCGAUCAGUAGCUGGUCUGAGAGGACGACCAGCCACACUGGAACUGAGACACGGUCCAGACUCCUACGGGAGGCAGCAGUGGGGAAUUUUGGACAAUGGGGGAAACCCUGAUCCAGCCAUUCCGCGUGAGUGAAGAAGGCCUUCGGGUUGUAAAGCUCUUUCGGCAGGAACGAAACGGUUACGGCGAAUACCCGUGACCACUGACGGUACCUGAAGAAGAAGCACCGGCUAACUACGUGCCAGCAGCCGCGGUAAUACGUAGGGUGCGAGCGUUAAUCGGAAUUACUGGGCGUAAAGCGUGCGCAGGCGGUUAUGCAAGCCAGACGUGAAAGCCCCGGGCUUAACCUGGGAAUGGCGUUUGGGACUGCAUGGCUAGAGUACGUCAGAGGGGGGUGGAAUUCCACGUAGCAGUGAAAUGCGUAGAGAUGUGGAGGAACACCGAUGGCGAAGGCAGCCCCCUGGGAUGAUACUGACGCUCAGGCACGAAAGCGUGGGGAGCAAACAGGAUUAGAUACCCUAGUAGUCC
rnacentral:rRNA from 1 species